GUGGCUGCGGUUGUUCACACACACAGGUACCAUUUCCCUGUACGGGCAGUCUGUCUGAACUUCAUGAGGGGAUUUUUGCAGGAUUCCUCACUUUUGGGAAAACAGAGUGUCAGCCUCCACAGGAAAUGAGAUGUCUGGUCAGAAGUAGGUGGUUUUCUAGGAUUACACACUAUUAAAACUCAGGAAGGAACAUCUUCUCACUAAUCACUAACUACUAAGCAAAUAUAACUACAAAUACUUACAUCUUCCCGAGGGUUUCCACUGCCACCCUAUCAUUUUAAUGAAUCUGCACAGUAAUUACAUACUGCUGGUAACACAGGGCUGCUUUACAGCUUUCUUUCCCUGUCUUAAAAGUAAACAAUUGGACUGCGAAACCUCCAGUACAUUUCAAUGUUACACAACAGCAGUAAGCAGUGGGCAAGAGGAAUGCCAUUCCAGAAGACACUUCAUCUCUAGAAAAUUGCAGGAUUUUCUGCUGGGGGAGAAAAAGACUAAAGACACAUCCACAUGUUCUACCACAGGCUCCUCAGGAACUGGCAUAAUCCUUGUGUUUGUCUGCAUGCAAGAAGCUGUGGUCAGGAAAACAUUUUUGAGGAAUUGGUCAUGUUUCAGUGUUUUCAAAUGUCUGGUUAAAAGGAAACGAAAACAAGCUUUUGCGUCCUAAAGACGGCUCAAGCGGGACUAUCCGGUCACUCAGCCUGAUUUUCUCAGAGUAACAUCACUGGUUUCACACGAAUAGACCCAUCGAGGAAAGGUAGCAAGAAAGCUGUCUGGUGAGGUGCACAAGAACAAGAAUCAGAAAAACGUGGUUAUCCUGCUGCCUCCAGCAUUGCCUGGUUGCAAAACCUGGGAUGAGGUGUUUAUCAGCACUCUGUCUUGGGCUGUCACAAAAAAAAAAAAAAAAAAAGAAAAAAAAAAAAGAGUGGUGUAAUGGUAUUUUUCUAGCCUGCGUUGUUCGGAAACUGGAUGCUCGUGAGGUGCUGGCAAGGCUCCCAGGCGCACGAAGGCAUCUGCCUGCCUGCCCCUGCUUUCUCCCUCCUCCUGGCUGGUGACUCUUGACCAGGCUGGGGGCUGCACGGAGCAGGGGCAACUUAACCCCACUCUGCUGUGGGGGGCCUGUCUGCUGCUCCUGGAUGUGCAAUGCAGCCAUGGCAGGCAGACAUCACGCCGGCGCCUGCCCGGGGAACUGCCAAAACCUCUUCCAAGGAAAGCAGCUGCCGCCGAGCGGGCAGUUCUCAUAGCAGGAGGAGAGGCUUCCAGCUCAGAGCCUGCGUCCUGUGCACAGUCCUGUGGUUACGAAACGGCCACACUUCUGGAAG